UACGUAGGGUGCAAGCGUUAUCCGGAAUUAUUGGGCGUAAAGAGCUCGUAGGCGGUCUGUCGCGUCGGCUGUGAAAACUCGGGGCUCAACUCCGAGCUUGCAGUCGAUACGGGCAGGCUAGAGUUCGGCAGGGGAGACUGGAAUUCCUGGUGUAGCGGUGAAAUGCGCAGAUAUCAGGAGGAACACCGGUGGCGAAGGCGGGUCUCUGGGCCGUUACUGACGCUGAGGAGCGAAAGCGUGGGGAGCGAACAGG
rnacentral:rRNA from 1 species